UACGUAGGGGGCAAGCGUUGUCCGGAUUUAUUGGGCGUAAAGAGCUCGUAGGCGGCUUGUUGCGUCGACUGUGAAAACCCGCGGCUUAACUGCGGGCUUGCAGUUGAUACGGGCAGGCUAGAGUUCGGUAGGGGAGACUGGAAUUCCUGGUGUAGCGGUGAAAUGCGCAGAUAUCAGGAAGAACACCCGUGGCGAAGGCGGCUCUCUGGGACGGUACUGACGCUGAGACGCGAAAGCGUGGGGAGCGAACAGG
rnacentral:rRNA from 1 species